AUUGAACGCUGGCGGCAUGCCUUACACAUGCAAGUCGAACGGCAGCACGGGAGCAAUCCUGGUGGCGAGUGGCGAACGGGUGAGUAAUAUAUCGGAACGUGCCCAGUCGUGGGGGAUAACGAAGCGAAAGCUGUGCUAAUACCGCAUACGAUCUACGGAUGAAAGCGGGGGAUCGCAAGACUUCGCGCGAUUGGAGCGGCCGAUAUCAGAUUAGCUAGUUGGUGGGGUAAAGGCACACCAAGGCGAAGAGCUGUAGCUGGUCUGAGAGGACGACCAGCGACACUGGAACUGAGACACGGUCCAGACUCCUACGGGAGGCAGCAGUGGGGAAUUGUGGACAAUGGGCGAAAGCCUGAUCCAGCAAUGCCGCGUGCAGGACGAAGGCCUUCGGGUUGUAAACUGCUUUUGUACGGAACGAAACGGUCUCUUCUAAUAAAGGGGGCUAAUGACGGUACCGUAAGAAUAAGCACCGGCUAACUACGUGCCAGCCGCCGCGGUAA
rnacentral:rRNA from 1 species